CCUACGGGGGGCUGCAGUGGGGAAUAUUGGACAAUGGGGGGAACCCUGAUCCAGUCAUGCCGCGUGUGUGAAGAAGGCCCUCGGGUUGUAAAGCACUUUCAGUGAGGAAGAACGCCUGGUGGUUAAUACCCAUCAGGAAAGACAUCACUCACAGAAGAAGCACCGGCUAACUCCGUGCCAGCAGCCGCGGUAAUACGGAGGGUGCGAGCGUUAAUCGGAAUUACUGGGCGUAAAGCGCGCGUAGGUGGCUUGAUAAGCCGGUUGUGAAAGCCCCGGGCUCAACCUGGGAACGGCAUCCGGAACUGUCAAGCUAGAGUGCAGGAGAGGAAGGUAGAAUUCCCGGUGUAGCGGUGAAAUGCGUAGAGAUCGAGAGGAAUACCAGUGGCGAAGGCGGCCUUCUGGACUGACACUGACACUGAGGUGCGAAAGCGUGGGUAGCAAACAGGAUUAGAUACCCCAGUAGUC
rnacentral:rRNA from 1 species